rnacentral:rRNA from 1 species
AGCGUACACGGUGGAUGCCCUGGCAGUCAGAGGCGAUGAAGGGCGUACUAAUCUGCGAUAAGCGCCGGUAAGGUGAUAUGAACCGUUAUAACCGGCGAUACCCGAAUGGGGAAACCCAGUGUGAUUCGUCACACUAUCAUUAACUGAAUCCAUAGGUUAAUGAGGCGAACCGGGGGAACUGAAACAUCUAAGUACCCCGAGGAAAAGAAAUCAACCGAGAUUCCCCCAGUAGCGGCGAGCGAACGGGGAGGAGCCCAGAGCCUGAAUCAGCAUGUGUGUUAGUGGAAGCGUCUGGAAAGGCGCGCGAUACAGGGUGACAGCCCCGUACACAAAAGCGCAUGUGCUGUGAGCUCGAUGAGUAGGGCGGGACACGUGGUAUCCUGUCUGAAUAUGGGGGGACCAUCCUCCAAGGCUAAAUACUCCUGACUGACCGAUAGUGAACCAGUACCGUGAGGGAAAGGCGAAAAGAACCCCGGCGAGGGGAGUGAAAAAGAACCUGAAACCGUGUACGUACAAGCAGUGGGAGCACAGGUUUACCUGUGUGACUGCGUACCUUUUGUAUAAUGGGUCAGCGACUUAUAUUCUGUAGCAAGGUUAACCGAAUAGGGGAGCCGGAGGGAAACCGAGUCUUAAUUGGGCGUUAAGUUGCAGGGUAUAGACCCGAAACCCGGUGAUCUAGCCAUGGGCAGGUUGAAGGUUGGGUAACACUAACUGGAGGACCGAACCGACUAAUGUUGAAAAAUUAGCGGAUGACCUGUGGCUGGGGGUGAAAGGCCAAUCAAACCGGGAGAUAGCUGGUUCUCCCCGAAAGCUAUUUAGGUAGCGCCUCGUGAAUUCAUCUCCGGGGGUAGAGCACUGUUUCGGCUAGGGGGCCAUCCCGGCUUACCAACCCGAUGCAAACUGCGAAUACCGGAGAAUGUUAUCACGGGAGACACACGGCGGGUGCUAACGUCCGUCGUGAAGAGGGAAACAACCCAGACCGCCAGCUAAGGUCCCAAAGUCAUGGUUAAGUGGGAAACGAUGUGGGAAGGCCCAGACAGCCAGGAUGUUGGCUUAGAAGCAGCCAUCAUUUAAAGAAAGCGUAAUAGCUCACUGGUCGAGUCGGCCUGCGCGGAAGAUGUAACGGGGCUAAACCAUGCACCGAAGCUGCGGCAGCGACACUGUGUGUUGUUGGGUAGGGGAGCGUUCUGUAAGCCUGCGAAGGUGGCCUGUGAGGGUUGCUGGAGGUAUCAGAAGUGCGAAUGCUGACAUAAGUAACGAUAAAGCGGGUGAAAAGCCCGCUCGCCGGAAGACCAAGGGUUCCUGUCCAACGUUAAUCGGGGCAGGGUGAGUCGACCCCUAAGGCGAGGCCGAAAGGCGUAGUCGAUGGGAAACGGGUUAAUAUUCCCGUACUUGGUGUUACUGCGAAGGGGGGACGGAGAAGGCUAUGUUGGCCGGGCGACGGUUGUCCCGGUUUAAGCGUGUAGGUGUGUGUUCCAGGUAAAUCCGGUUCACUUUAACACUGAGGCGUGACGACGAGGCACUACGGUGCUGAAGCAACAAAUGCCCUGCUUCCAGGAAAAGCCUCUAAGCAUCAGGUAACAUCAAAUCGUACCCCAAACCGACACAGGUGGUCAGGUAGAGAAUACCAAGGCGCUUGAGAGAACUCGGGUGAAGGAACUAGGCAAAAUGGUGCCGUAACUUCGGGAGAAGGCACGCUGACACGUAGGUGAAGUGAUUUACUCAUGGAGCUGAAGUCAGUCGAAGAUACCAGCUGGCUGCAACUGUUUAUUAAAAACACAGCACUGUGCAAACACGAAAGUGGACGUAUACGGUGUGACGCCUGCCCGGUGCCGGAAGGUUAAUUGAUGGGGUCAGCGCAAGCGAAGCUCCUGAUCGAAGCCCCGGUAAACGGCGGCCGUAACUAUAACGGUCCUAAGGUAGCGAAAUUCCUUGUCGGGUAAGUUCCGACCUGCACGAAUGGCGUAAUGAUGGCCAGGCUGUCUCCACCCGAGACUCAGUGAAAUUGAACUCGCUGUGAAGAUGCAGUGUACCCGCGGCAAGACGGAAAGACCCCGUGAACCUUUACUAUAGCUUGACACUGAACAUUGAGCCUUGAUGUGUAGGAUAGGUGGGAGGCUUUGAAGUGUGGACGCCAGUCUGCAUGGAGCCGACCUUGAAAUACCACCCUUUAAUGUUUGAUGUUCUAACGUGGACCCGUUACCCGGGUUGCGGACAGUGUCUGGUGGGUAGUUUGACUGGGGCGGUCUCCUCCUAAAGAGUAACGGAGGAGCACGAAGGUUGGCUAAUCCUGGUCGGACAUCAGGAGGUUAGUGCAAUGGCAUAAGCCAGCUUGACUGCGAGCGUGACGGCGCGAGCAGGUGCGAAAGCAGGUCAUAGUGAUCCGGUGGUUCUGAAUGGAAGGGCCAUCGCUCAACGGAUAAAAGGUACUCCGGGGAUAACAGGCUGAUACCGCCCAAGAGUUCAUAUCGACGGCGGUGUUUGGCACCUCGAUGUCGGCUCAUCACAUCCUGGGGCUGAAGUAGGUCCCAAGGGUAUGGCUGUUCGCCAUUUAAAGUGGUACGCGAGCUGGGUUUAGAACGUCGUGAGACAGUUCGGUCCCUAUCUGCCGUGGGCGCUGGAGAACUGAGGGGGGCUGCUCCUAGUACGAGAGGACCGGAGUGGACGCAUCACUGGUGUUCGGGUUGUCAUGCCAAUGGCACUGCCCGGUAGCUAAAUGCGGAAGAGAUAAGUGCUGAAAGCAUCUAAGCACGAAACUUGCCCCGAGAUGAGUUCU